UGCUUCUGGUGGUACGUCGCCGGCAUUUUUGCACAAAAGUCCCUGUGCUUUUGAUAAUUAAACCUGCAGUCCUCGUCAUAAGUCAGCCCCGAACCGGUCAGAGGAGAGAAAAUAAGAAAGAAAAUCCCAGCGCCCCGCACGACCCUGCCUCUUCGAUCCCAUCUCCACCUCCAUCCCGCCGCCACCUCCUGCCCUGCGCCGCCCGCCCCACACCGCGUCAACCGGGACCGCGUCCCUCCCUAAACGGCGGCGAUGAUGGAGGGCGCCGCCCAACUCCUGACCGACGGAUUCGCCGGCUUCCCGCUCCUCAGGGCCAGCCCCUCCCCCGUGCCGGGCCUAGCAUCGGCUUGGAGGCCCCAAGGGGCUGCCGCCGGUGCGGGCGCGGCCGUGGGGCUGGGGCGGUGGAGGCUCCGUUGAGCCGCCGGCAGGCAGGGAGACGGGCUCCUGUUGAGGCGGCGGGGCUUGGUGCGGGCUGGUCUUCCGGAUUGAGCCCGUCCUCAUCUUCCUCUCGUUCGCUUGGCUCCUUCCCUCACAAUUGGUGCCCAGGCGUCGCCAUCACCAUGGAUGUGCUGAACAACGCGGACGCCUGCUUCUCCCCCGGGAGGGCCAUGUUGCCUCAGGUGCACCCGAGGGGAGGUGGAGGCGGGUGGAGCGCCUGCAUCAGCGUGUCGUGAAACCCCUUCAUGAUUUUGAACAUCUCAGGCAAAAGAAGAUGAUUGGGUUUCCGUGGUUAGGGCUGCUGUCGUCGUGCUUCAUCAGCAUCGUCAUUGCAGGAUUCAUUUUCUACAAGUACUGUCUUGGGAGUAAGGAAGCAGAGAUACCUCUUCAAUCCCAAAAUUUAUAUUGUUCCGGGAAUUACCAUGAGAAGCAAGCACUGAAUCUUUCUUGGCUAUCAAUAAAAUCUGUUGCGGCAGUACAUGGCUUCUGAAGUGACGAGUAACAGUAAUCAUGCCAGGUUAAUCCAAGCUCAGUCCGUUGGUAUGCCCCAUGGCUGGAUUUGCUUGCUUUGCUGUGUACUGGAGGUGCUCAAUGAAAUCCGUCAGUUUGCUCUUGGUCUUGGAGGAUUACGGAAGAGGAUAUGUAGAUCCUUCCAAUCCCUACUCCCUAGCAAUGUACUAGAAGUUAUAAAUGGUGGUCAGUAUCAGCCACUACAUGUCGGAGCUGUUGCGGGAGCACCAGAAGCUUGUCCUGUUUCACGCAGGUGCUACCAAUCUACAUCAAGCUGUUGGGCCACGAGAUAAUGCGGGUGUCCUCCUUGCUUAAGCAACAUCAUGGUGGGGACCUUCAGAGGUUGCCGUCAGUGGCGAGUCCAAACCAGAUGCAUCAUCAUCCGCCGCCACCAAUGCCUAAUUUCUGUGGAAAUGGUUUUGGCCCGUGGAACCACGGUGCGCAUCUAGAGAACAGAGAAUGAUACACAAGAUCCUCUCUUGGUGGUUUCAAGGUUGCAUUGUACCUUUUGCAUAACUUAAUGGUAGAAUAAAUCAGAUUGUCUUUGAGAAUAAUUUGAUGAACCACCAUGUCGCUCUUCAAUCUGGUUCCAUGGGAAAGUAAAUUACAUCGCUCGAGCGGGUCAACAUAGCCUACAGAUGCAGGAUACAUUUCUAGAGCUGAAAUUUCAGGGCAUCAAGAAGUAAUUAACUAUGCUUCAAGCAAGGAAGUUAUUUUGGUAUAACUUUUUUGAGGACUAAUUUACUAGCUUAAUGUUUGGAAGUUAAUGAGCUGCAGAUAUGGCAUGUGCGUACACGAAGACCUGAUGCAUCAAAGCUCGGUGUGGACACCUCUUCUUACAUGACAUGUUUGUCUACAACUUAUCCGAGCUUCAAUUUCCAGAAUAAAACACAUGUUUUUAUUUAUUAUGGUUUCUUCUCUUAGAUAACCAAACAUUUUGCAGAUGUUGAUUUUUCAUUUCCUUCCAACGCCAUUAAAUCCCAGUGUUUUCUAAUUUGAAAUGGCUCCCCUCAGUAUCACUCCCCUCAGUUUUUGGAGGAACAUGGUGCUAUUUGGUGUUUUUGGUUGUGGAAAAAAUGUCAUUAGUCAGGCACUUUCUAAGGUGGUCAGCUGACUGCUCUGUUGUCAUGGAUGUGGGAAAAUCUUUGUCUAUAUUUUUUUCUUGGUACCAUCUCUAUACCGUCUAUUGAGUUUGAAAAUGUCCGCGGUACUCCAAUUCUGAAGCUCUGGUUUAUGUGGGAUGUGGGGAAAGAGGAAAUGAGAUGUCUGAUGUUCUCAUAUAUGGAUUUUCCCCAAUUGACAAUGACAUUGCCUGACAUGAUGUGAACAAUGGAGCCGCUUAAAUUCCAUGGCAAGCUCAUCAUGGUCGCUUUCUUACUCCAGAUGGGUGGGAGGGGACAGGGAGGAAGAGGGAGCCGCCCAAGGACAUGAUGGUGCGGCCACUGGAAGCGCUAUUCUUCCUGCCCUCGUCCUCCGAGAACGACGGGGACAACGUAGGUGGCGUCGGCACUAUCCUAACAGGGGGGGGAGAAGAAUGGGAAACGGGAAGAAAGAUCGCGUUCAUGCGUGUUGUCCGUGUGUGUGUCGGUCAAGUUUUUAAUGGGCCAAGCCCAAAAAAUAGUGCAAAACAAAUUACAAAUGAAAUAUUAUAUUGCAAAAAAAUGUUCGUCACCAUAAAAAUGAUUCCAUUUUAAAAAAUAUUGUUGAAAUUAAUAAAAAAACACCUUCUCAAAACAAAAGAAAUAUUCAUGUUUUUCCGAACAACAAAAAAUAAAAUUGAUUGAAAGACUAUUUCAUACCAAAAAGAAAUACCUGGUGUAACCUUAUUUCUGACGUUUGCAAUAAUUGGGUUAAAAAUGUUUUUCACAAUUGCACGUGGAGCAAGUUAUAUUUAAUAUUUCGCCCGGUGCAACGCACGGGCAUUUGUACUAGUCUCUACCUACUAAUAAACCAGGGAUUGCUUCUGGUCGUACGUCGCCGGCCGUUUUGCAAAAAAGUCCCUCUGUUUCUGAGAAAUUAACGCGCAGUCCUACUUAAAGUGUGGAUAACGUUUCGUUUUUUGCAAAAAAAAAACACCGGAUCGCGCCGCCGCUCGCAGCUCCCUCCUGCGCGAGCUCCUCUCGCGCCCGCAAGAUGCCUCGCCGGCGACCCCACACCUCCGCCACGCCCCGCCGCCGGCGACCUUCCCCGCUGGAUCUCCGACCUCCAUGGUGUCGUUGGCCUUCAAUCUCGCUGGAUCCGGCCGCCUCCAUGCCAAAUCCACCGGAAAUGGAUCCACCCCGGCCAGAUCCGCCCGGAUCCAACCGGGCCCCGCCGUCGUCGCCACCGGAGCGCCGCCCCGAAAUUUUGGUUCAGACUGCUCUUCAAUCCUUGCUGAUUUGUGGUUUUGAGACCCACCCAAGCAGGGCUGCGCUCAGGAGAAGAACCUGCUGUUCCUGGAGGCCUGACAGACAGCCGAUCCCGCUAUUAUCACAAGUCCGCUUUGUGACGAGCUGGUCAACACGCGGGAGGAGACAUAUAUGAUUCCACUUGUGCAAAGUCUGCCUGUACUACUAUCCAUAUUGCCCCAUAGCAAUACAAUUUAUCUACUGCCUCAAUAGCUCACUUCUGCAAGUCAUAACGUUCCACUUUAAUACUUUAGAAUGUACAGCCGAGUUUAAUAAGUGGAUCAAAUGCAGUUGUCAUACACCUCCUUUGGUUGAAUCUGAAUUCUGUUAGAAACAUGACAAACCACCUAAAUAUGCCAUUGAUCUGUACAAAACUGAGAGAUUUUGUGUUUUCAUAGUUCUUUUGCGCUCUGACCGAAUUUGCUUAUCUGUCAUUUUUUUCAGAUGUUGCAACCUUGGGCGAUCGGUUCAUUGGAUUCUUGAAACCAGUGCCUUUUCUGAAGUAAGUCUGGCAUGCAAGGUACCCUCACGGUUUAUUUUCAAGAGAUGGCGUUGGGGUCUCGGGGACGUGCCGGACGGCGUCGCGUUCCUGCACCUUGGGGAUGGCUUUGGGUUGAAUUCCCCUCCAUGCAAUCUUGUGCUCCUUUGGGUGUUUCUAAUCUUUCUGCCUUCUAGCGUAAAUAGAGAGAUGUUCUCCCAUCGCUAUUGGCUGUCAAAUUAGCGAUGCAAUCCAUCCCUAUGUCGGCACAAUCAGCAGAACAAAGCAGCUACCAUGAUUUGCCCAUUGAUCUCUUGGAGUGAUUCAAACCUGCAAGCACCAGGGUAAUGACUCAUGCUCUACUACGUCAGAUUGAGUGACUCCUGCAUAUGAUGACUGAAGAAUUUUUCAUCAAUUUUCCAACCUGAAUUAGCUACAGAAGGGAAAAGAGGAGUCCAGGCUCUGAUGAACACAUCGUCUUUCCCAGAAACCACUUCAACUAGCCCAGGACUGUGUCUAUUAGUCCUCCAGUAUUUGUUGAGAUGAGAUAACACAUUGUAUGACAGGUAACAAGCAACUGAAGCAAGAAGAUUUUUUAAAUUUCUUGGAAAGUAUAACCACCUUAACCCAGGAUGCAUGAUGAAGGAUCCAAUAUGUCAGGACCAACGAGGGAAUUGCAGUAUGUCAGAACCAAUGAGAGAAUUGUAGAGCUUCAUACUAAGUUUAUUUUAGCUGCUUGCCCGCUUCAAGUGUCUAGAUUACAGGAAACAUGUUUCCUUAAGUGACAAACCUGGAUACCAAUUUAUUCAAACUAUUAUAUUUCUUAUAGAAGUAAUGCAAUAUAUUCUCUCUCUUCUGCCUAUUUGAAA